GGCAGAAUGGCCGAGUGGUUAAGGCGUGGGAUUCGAAACCCCAUGGGUUCACCCGCAUCGGUUCAAAUCCGGUUUCUGUCG
rfam:Trichomonas vaginalis G3, whole genome shotgun sequence.